rnacentral:rRNA from 3 species
GAUGUGUAGGAUAGGUGGGAGGCUUUGAAGUGUGGACGCCAGUCUGCAUGGAGCCGACCUUGAAAUACCACCCUUUAAUGUUUGAUGUUCUAACGUGGACCCGUAAUCCGGGUUGCGGACAGUGUCUGGUGGGUAGUUUGACUGGGGCGGUCUCCUCCUAAAGAGUAACGGAGGAGCACGAAGGUUGGCUAAUCCUGGUCGGACAUCAGGAGGUUAGUGCAAUGGCAUAAGCCAGCUUGACUGCGAGCGUGACGGCGCGAGCAGGUGCGAAAGCAGGUCAUAGUGAUCCGGUGGUUCUGAAUGGAAGGGCCAUCGCUCAACGGAUAAAAGGUACUCCGGGGAUAACAGGCUGAUACCGCCCAAGAGUUCAUAUCGACGGCGGUGUUUGGCACCUCGAUGUCGGCUCAUCACAUCCUGGGGCUGAAGUAGGUCCCAAGGGUAUGGCUGUUCGCCAUUUAAAGUGGUACGCGAGCUGGGUUUAGAACGUCGUGAGACAGUUCGGUCCCUAUCUGCCGUGGGCGCUGGAGAACUGAGGGGGGCUGCUCCUAGUACGAGAGGACCGGAGUGGACGCAUCACUGGUGUUCGGGUUGUCAUGCCAAUGGCACUGCCCGGUAGCUAAAUGCGGAAGAGAUAAGUGCUGAAAGCAUCUAAGCACGAAACUUGCCCCGA